GUGUGUGUCUGGCUGGUCAUGGAUGUAAUAGAGAACUGGAUACAGCGUUGGAGGUGGGGCCCCGUUCACUCCUAUGAGAGUUGCUCAAUGGCGCAUGAUGCCAAAAUGGCUCGAUUUCCAUCUGCAAAAUUACCCGGAUCUUCCAGCGAUCUUCCCCAUCCAUUG